rnacentral:rRNA from 1 species
UGUGAACGCUGGCGGUAGGCCUAACACAUGCAAGUCGAACGGCAGCACAGUAAGAGCUUGCUCUUACGGGUGGCGAGUGGCGGACGGGUGAGGAAUACAUCGGAAUCUACUUUUUCGUGGGGGAUAACGUAGGGAAACUUACGCUAAUACCGCAUACGACCUACGGGUGAAAGCAGGGGAUCUUCGGACCUUGCGCGAUUGAAUGAGCCGAUGUCGGAUUAGCUAGUUGGCGGGGUAAAGGCCCACCAAGGCGACGAUCCGUAGCUGGUCUGAGAGGAUGAUCAGCCACACUGGAACUGAGACACGGUCCAGACUCCUACGGGAGGCAGCAGUGGGGAAUAUUGGACAAUGGGCGCAAGCCUGAUCCAGCCAUACCGCGUGGGUGAAGAAGGCCUUCGGGUUGUAAAGCCCUUUUGUUGGGAAAGAAAAGCAGCAGGUUAAUACCCCGCUGUUCUGACGGUACCCAAAGAAUAAGCACCGGCUAACUUCGUG